rnacentral:rRNA from 1 species
UACGUAGGGGCAAGCGUUGUCCGGAUUUAUUGGGCGUAAAGGGCGCGUAGGCGGUCACGCACGUCCGUUGUGAAAUCGCUCGGCUCAACUGGGCGGGUCAGCGGAUACGCGUGGCUGGAGCAAGCUAGGGGCAAUGGAAUUCCGGUGUAGUGGUGGAAUGACGCAGAUAUCAGGAGGAACACCGAUGGCGAAGGCAGGUCUCCUGGGCCGAUACUGACGCUGAGGAGCGAAAGCGUGGGGAGCGAAACAGG